UCUAAACCAAAAAGGAGUGCACUUAAUUGUGGCUCCAAACUUUUAUUUUUAACCCCAACACUUGUUUGUGUGACUUUUGUCAUUGCACUCAGGUAUAAGUAACAGCCUUUUUGUUACAUUACCCCCCCCUCACAAUUUUUUUUAUUAUUAUUAAACACAAGUUAAAUUAAGAAUGUAAACCCCUAUUAUUUUUUAAA
rnacentral:misc_RNA from 1 species